UACGAGAGCCUCAAGCGUUACCCGGAUUUACUGGGCGUAAAGGGUGUGUAGGUGGUCAUGUUAGUCGUUUGUGAAAGACCGAGGCUCAACCUCGGGAACGCGGGCGAAACGGCAUGACUCGAGGAUGCGAGAGGUCUGGGGAACUCACGGUGUAGGGGUGAAAUCCGUUGAUAUCGUGGGGAACACCAAAAGCGAAGGCACCAGACUGGCGCACUCCUGACACUGAGACACGAAAGCCAGGGUAGCGAACGGG
rnacentral:misc_RNA from 1 species